GUGUUCCUACGGGAGGCAGCAGUAGGGAAUUUUCGUCAAUGGGCGCAAGCCUGAACGAGCAAUGCCGCGUGAACGAGGAAGGUCUUCGGAUCGUAAAGUUCUGUUGAAGGGGAAAAAGAGCGGAGAGAGGAAAUGGUCUCCGAUUGAUAUUACCCUUCGAGGAAGUCACGGCUAACUACGUGCCAGCAGCCGCGGUAAUACGUAGGUGGCAAGCGUUAUCCGGAAUUACUGGGUGUAAAGGGAGCGUAGGCGGGACGGCAAGUCAGAUGUGAAAACUGAGGGCUCAACCUUCAGACUGCAUUUGA
rnacentral:rRNA from 1 species